rnacentral:tRNA from 1 species
CAAGAUGGACAGGCUUUGAUCCUGCGAAACUCUAGUUAACAGCUAAAAACCCAACCCAGCGGGCUUCCAUCUU